rnacentral:rRNA from 1 species
UACGAAGGGGGCUAGCGUUGCUCGGAAUUACUGGGCGUAAAGGGAGCGUAGGCGGCCUUGUAAGUCAGUGGUGAAAUCUCUCGGCUUAACCGAGAAAUUGCCAUUGAUACUGCAGGGCUUGAGUACAGUUGCCGUUGGCGGAAUAUGACAUGUAGUGGUGAAAUACAUAGAGAUGUCAUAGAACACCGAUUGCGAAGGCAGCUAACGAAACUGUAACUGACGCUGAGGCUCGAAAGUGCGGGGAUCAAACAGG